CAAAUUGAUCAUAACCAUUUAUAGGGAAUAGAUUUUAUAUAUAGUAGAAAUUUAAUAGAUUGAUCAUAACUGUUCGUUUUUAUUAACAUAGUUUUAACAAAUUAAUCAUAAUCAUUCGUAGGAAAUAUUAUUUUAUAUUUAAUAGAUUGAUCAUAACCGUAAUUUUUAUUGAGAUGUUUUUAACAAAUUAAUUAUAAUCAUUCGUAUGGAAUUUAUUUUAUUCCUUUUUGGAUUCCGUCUGUCAUUGUCGGAAUUCCUAUACGCUUAUAUAUAUAUAUAUAUAUAUAGAACUAGGCUACUAUGCUAUUAAUAGCACCAAGUCAUUGGUGUUACCAAGUUUUUGGUCAUUGGAUUAAGAGAUGUGCGGUUAGGAUGAUGUGAGCCCCCUAGGGUUGAGUGGGUGGUUGGUUGAAUAGUAUAAUCUAACAGGUAAAAAUGAUCAAAAGAGUAGAUUUAACGGCGGAAAACUUGGUAGCACCAAGUGCUUCGUGCUAUUAAUAGCAUAGUAGACGGACUCCCUCUCUCUCUCUCUCUCUCUCUCUCUCUCUCUCUCUCUCUCUCUCUCUCUCUAUAUAUAUAUAUAUAUAUAUAUAUAUGAG
rnacentral:lncRNA from 1 species